UAAGCAAGAUGUGAAAGCCCAGGGCUCAACCUUGGAACUGCAUUUUGAACUGGGUAACUAGAGUACUGUAGAGGGUGGUGGAAUUUCCAGUGUAGCGGUGAAAUGCGUAGAGAUUGGAAGGAACAUCAGUGGCGAAGGCGGCCACCUGGACAGAUACUGACGCUGAGGAACGAAAGCGUGGGGAGCGAACAGGAUUAGAUACCCUGGUAGUCCACGCCGUAAACGAUGUCAACUAGCCGUUCGUGGACUUGAUCCGUGAGUGGCGCAGCUAACGCACUAAGUUGACCGCCUGGGGAGUACG
rnacentral:rRNA from 1 species